rnacentral:lncRNA from 1 species
CGCACAUUACAAUUCAGUUCAAGAGAAGUCCGAGUCUGAUGUCAGAAGAUGUAACCAAAGAAAAUAAACAAAAUGACAAUAAUACAUAAAUAACAACAGACUACUAGCAGUUAACUGACAUGGCAGCUCCAGACUUCAAUUAAACUGACUGAAAGAUUAUGAUUUCAUCAUAUGAACAUCAGGCACAAUCCUUCCCGUUAGGGGUUUAGUAUCAUACCAUCAUAACAUAUAUGAGAAGAACAUAACCCGUGUCACGCCAAC